rnacentral:misc_RNA from 1 species
CGCCCAGUGGAUUGAUGUGACCAGACCCGUAAGCAAAUUCAAGAUCUGGGUGCUUCCUUGAGUCCAUUAUAUAAGCUGUUGUCAUGAGGGCGGAUUUAAUGGCAGCAGGAGACCAGUCAGGGUGGGCGGCCUUUACAUAAGCAGCAGCACCACUAGCAUGUGGGCAAGACAUAGAUGUACCAGAGAUUAUGUUGAAGUAUACACUCCUGGUGUCCCUCCAAUAGAUGGAAG